ACAUACAAACUGAAUACUGCUCGUACAGUUCUGAGGAUAUGGCUCAGACGUUGUUGCCAGGUAGCCGUAAAUUGCCUGACUACGGGUGAAAGUGCGUCUAGG
rnacentral:ncRNA from 1 species